rnacentral:rRNA from 1 species
CUGAGUAAAGGUCUCUGUCCUAAGAACCAAGCCCUCAGCAUGUAUAAAAAAGAGUGUUUAGCCAUUCUCAUGGCCGUGGACAAAUGGAGGCCUUACUUGCAGCACCAGCCUUUCAUCAUUCGCACUGACCAGCAAGCCCUGCUACACCUGUCAGAUCAAAGGCUUAACACUUGAAUCCAACACAAAGCCUUUGUGAAACUCAUGGGUUUGGAAUAUACUCCCUCCGUUCCAAAAUAG